AAGAUGACGCAGCAGAUUCUAAAGAUGAUAGAGAAGAUGGUAAAGCAGGUUCUAAAGAAGAUGGAGAAGAUCGUACAGCAUAUUCUGAAGAAGAUGGAGAAGAUGGUACAGUAGAUUUUAAAGAAGAUGAAGAAGAUGGUACAGCAGAUUCUAAAGAAGAUGAAGAAGGUGGUAAGCAGAUCCUGAAGAAGAUAUUGAAGAUGGAGGUGAUAAUUUGAGAAAUGACUAAGUCGAAGAUGGAGAGUGGCGAAAAAUAAGGAUUCGACAAGAUGAACCUAUAACAUUUGGGAAACAUUUAUGAGUACUCCACACAUUAUUAAAAAAAAAUAAAGAAAUAACGAUGAGGUUAAAUUCAGAAUCGAGGUUCACAGACAAAUUAAUAAAGAAAUGGUUAAAAUGCCUUUGAAAAAUGUC